GCGCGAAAACUUUACAAUGCGGGAAACCGUGAUAAGGGAACUCCGAGUGUCCGUAAAUGCGGACUGUCCGUAUGUUUAAAAAGCAUGCGAAGAAAGGGCCGGGCAAGACCGGUGCCAGCCGCCGCGGUAAUACCGGCGGCUCGAGUGGUGGCCACUAUUACUGGGCUUAAAGCGUUCGUAGCUGGGUCGUUAAGUCUCUUGGGAAAUCUACCGGCUUAACCGAUAGGCGUCCAAGGGAUACUGGCGAUCUAGGGACCGGGAGAGGUGAGGGGUACUUCAGGGGUAGGAGUGAAAUCCUGUAAUCCUUGGGGGACCACCUGUGGCGAAGGCGCCUCACCAGAACGGUUCCGACAGUGAGGGACGAAAGCUGGGGGAGCAAACCGGAUUAGAUACCCGGGUAGUCCCAGCCGUAAACGAUGCGCGUUAGGUGUAUCGAUGACCACGAGUCAUCGAGGUGCCGAAGGGAAACCGUGAAACGCGCCGCCUGGGAAGUACGGUCGCAAGGCUGAAACUAAGUAAAGUAGUCGGGGAGGCACCACAACAACGGUAGGAGGACCGUCGCGGUUAACGUUACGACGUAC
rnacentral:rRNA from 1 species